GAGGGCGCAGCCACCCCGCAGCCAUCCCAGCAGGUACCCUAAGGGUGGGCACAGGGGGGGGGUCCCUGGAGAGGGACGGUGCCCUGGGGGGGAUGCUGAGCACAGCCCCCCCCCGUGUGCCCCAGGCUGCUGCAGGCUCUGCCCCAAUGAGUCCCAGGGAGCUGGGGAGGACGCCGGACCCCGAGGACGUCGCCGUGGGCAUCUGCUGGGCCAUAGCCACCGGCCUCCGAGCCCUGCUGGGCGCCAGGGCCGGGCAGCUCCUCCAGCACAGCGCCGAGCGGGCGCUGGGCGCGACCCAGGAGUGGCUGCACCGCCACCUGCCCGCAGGUAAGACCCCCCCCCAGGACACCGCUGGGGGCUGGGGGUGUCCCUGUGGCACCGCAGCCUCCAGCUCUCCCCCCUCUGUGCCCCCCCCUCACCCUGCAGACCGGGCUGCGGCGGGGCCGGGGGUGGCCAUGGCCGAGGGUCGGGGGCUCGGUGGUCUCCGCUCCCCCCGUGCCUGCGUGGUGCUGCGGAGGCAGCAGGAGGACGCCUGGCACCACCUCACCCGGCUCCAGCACAUCCUCGACAUGGCGGUGGCCGCCCGGCGAGGCUCUGCGGAGCGAUGCCACCAGGGCCAGGAGCAGCCAUGGGGACAAAGGAGCCCGGAGCAAGAAAAUCCCAGCCCCAACCCUGCCUGCAGCCAGGCUGGGGGGGUGGUGGGGCCCCCCCCGGUGCCUGUAGGGUGCGGGCAAUGCCAGGAGCUCGACGAGGGCCAGGAGCUGGCACUGUGGCUGCGGGAUGAAUUCGGGUGGCUCCUGGCCCAGGCCUCCUGGCUGCCGGCCCCGCUGCGGGAGGGGGCCCAGCAGGCCCAGGACAAUUUGGGCGAGCUGCACCGGGCCUUCGUGCUGGCUGGCUCCCUGAGGGAGCUGGAGGAGGCGGUGACCACCCGGGGCCGCAGGUGGGUGGCCCAGGCCUGGGAGGUGCUGGAGGCGUUGGUGGAAUUCCUCCUCCGGCACCCACGGGAGCCCUGGCAGGGUGAGGGGGCGCCCGCGGCCCCUGCACGGGAAUAAUUCCAGCCUGAAUAUCUCCCCCCCC
rnacentral:lncRNA from 1 species